rnacentral:rRNA from 1 species
AGCCAGACUCCUACGGGAGGCAGCAGUGGGGGAUAUUGCACAAUGGGGGAAACCCUGAUGCAGCGACGCCGCGUGGGUGAAGGAGCACCUCGGUGCGUAAAGCCCUAUCGGCAGGGAAGAAACAGACGGUACCUGACUAAGAAGCCCCGGCUAACUACGUGCCAGCAGCCGCGGUAAUACGUAGGGGGCAAGCGUUAUCCGGAUUUACUGGGUGUAAAGGGGGCGUAGACGGCAUGGCAAGUCAGAUGUGAAAGCCCGGGGCUCAACCCCGGGACUGCAUUUGAAACUGUUGGUCUUGAGUAUCGGAGAGGCAGGCGGAAUUCCUAGUGUAGCGGUGAAAUGCGUAGAUAUUAGGAGGAACACCAGUGGCGAAGGCGGCCUGCUGGACGACAACUGACGGUGAGGCGCGAAAGCGUGGGGAGCAAACAGGAUUAGAUACCCUAGUAC